GUCGAGCGAUCUCUUCGGAGAGAGCGUCGCGUAUCGGGUGAGUAACGCGUGGGUAACCUGCCCUGUACACACGGUAUAACAUACCGAAGGGUAUACUAAUACGGGAAUAACAUAUGAAAGUCGCAUGGUUUUUGUAUCAAAGCUCCGGCGGUACAGGAUGGACCCGCGUCUGAUUAGCUAGUUGGUAAGGUAAUGGCUUACCAAGGCAACGAUCAGUAGCCGACCUGAGAGGGUGAUCGGCCACACUGGAACUGAGACACGGUCCAGACUCCUACGGGAGGCAGCAGUGGGGAAUAUUGCACAAUGGGCGAAAGCCUGAUGCAGCAACGCCGCGUGAGCGAUGAAGGCCUUCGGGUCGUAAAGCUCUGUCCUCAAGGAAGAUAAUGACGGUACUUGAGGAGGAAGCCCCGGCUAACUACGUGCCAGCAGCCGCGGUAAUACGUAGGGGGCUAGCGUUAUCCGGAAUUACUGGGCGUAAAGGGGGCGUAGGUGGUUUUUUAAGUCAAAAGUGAAAGGCUACGGCUCAACCGUAGUAAGCUUUUGAAACUAGAGAACUUGAGUGCAGGACAGGAGAGUAGAAUUCCUAGUGUAGCGGUGAAAUGCGUAGAUAUUAGGAGGAAUACCAGUAGCGAAGGCGGCUCUCUGGACUGUAUCUGACACUGAGGCACGAAAGCGUG
rnacentral:rRNA from 1 species